rnacentral:rRNA from 1 species
AUUGAACGCUGGCGGCAUGCCUUACACAUGCAAGUCGAACGGCAGCACGGGAGCAAUCCUGGUGGCGAGUGGCGAACGGGUGAGUAAUAUAUCGGAACGUGCCCAGUCGUGGGGAGUAACGUAGCGAAAGACUACGCUAAUACCGCAUACGAUCUAUGGAUGAAAGACGGGGGAGUCGCAAGACCUCGCGCGAUUGGAGCGGCCGAUAUCAGAUUAGGUAGUUGGUGAGGUAAAGGACUCACCAAGCCGACGAUCUGUAGCUGGUCUGAGAGGACGACCAGCCACACUGGGACUGAGACACGGCCCAGACUCCUACGGGAGGCGAGCAGU